rnacentral:rRNA from 1 species
UACGGAGGGUGCAAGCGUUAAUCGGAAUUACUGGGCGUAAAGCGUGCGCAGGCGGUUUGUUAAGUCCGCUGUGAAAUCCCCGAGCUCAACUUGGGAAUUGCAGUGGAUACUGGCAAGCUGGAGUAUGGUAGAGGAAGGUGGAAUUCCCGGUGUAGCAGUGAAAUGCGUAGAGACCCGGAGGAACACCAGUGGCGAAGGCGGCGUCCUGGCCUGCGACUGACGCUGUGGCGCGAAAGCUAGGGGAGCGAACGGG